rnacentral:rRNA from 1 species
CAGUUCGCAUGCAGUAGCUGACCUGCGGAGGAUCAUUA